rnacentral:rRNA from 1 species
GCCACCGAAUACAUUAGCAUGGGAUAAUGGAAUAGGACCCUGUCCUCCUAUUUUCAGUUGGUUUUGGCAGCGCGAGGACUAGGGUAAUGAUUAAUAGGGAUAGUUGGGGGCAUUAAUAUUUAAUUGUCAGAGGUGAAAUUCUUGGAUUUAUGAAAGAUUAACUUCUGCGAAAGCAUCUGCCAAGGAUGUUUUCAUUAAUCAAGAACGAAAGUUAGGGGAUCGAAGACGAUCAGAUACCGUCGUAGUCUUAACCAUAAACGAUGCCGACCAGCGAUUAGGAGACGUUGAAUACAAAACACCACCAUCGGUGCGGUCAUCCUUGGCGUUGGUCUUCAAAA